AGCGAACGCUGGCGGCAGGCUUAACACAUGCAAGUCGAGCGGGCACUUUCGGGUGUCAGCGGCGGACGGGUGAGUAACGCGUGGGAACGUGCCCUCUGGUUCGGAAUAACUCAGGGAAACUUGAGCUAAUACCGGAUACGCCCUUUUGGGGAAAGGCUUGCUGCCGGAGGAUCGGCCCGCGUCUCAUUAGCUAGUUGGUGAGGUAACGGCUCACCAAGGCGACGAUCAGUAGCUGGUCUGAGAGGAUGAUCAGCCACACUGGGACUGAGACACGGCCCAGACUCCUACGGGAGGCAGCAGUGGGGAAUAUUGGACAAUGGGCGCAAGCCUGAUCCAGCCAUGCCGCGUGAGUGAUGAAGGCCUUAGGGUUGUAAAGCUCUUUUAUCCGGGACGAUAAUGACGGUACCGGAGGAAUAAGCCCCGGCUAACUUCGUG
rnacentral:rRNA from 1 species